AACUCUAUGUUAUAAAAUAAAGCAUAUCCUGCUCGGUGCCCGUAAACAGCCGCAGAAUAUUACACUGUGCUAAGGUAGCAUAAUCACUUGUCUUUUAAUUCAAGAAUAGAAUGAAAGGAAAAACGAAUUCUAGCCUGCUUCAUUUUUUUAAAAUAAAAUUACUAAAAAGUGAAAACUCUUUUUUCCCGAAAAAAGACGACAAGACCCUAAAAGAACUUAACUUAAGUUUAGCUGGGGCGGCUUUUUAAAAAAAUCUUAAUUAACCAUAUUUAAAUCCUAUCUUUAUACUAAGUUACCUUAGGGGUAACAGCAUAAUUUAAUUUUAAAGCUCUUAUAUAAAAUUAAGAUUAUGACCUCGAUGUUGAAUUAUUCUUCUUUUUGACGAAAAUUUCAGAAAAGAAAGUCUGUUCGACU
rnacentral:rRNA from 1 species